AUGGCUUCACUAAGAGUUUUCCUCGUUUUGUUGCUUCAGGCUGAAGGCAUCAGAGGAGGCAUCUCUUACUGUGAUCUCUAUCAGAGACCUGGAGAUGAUGUCUUGUUACCCUGUCUUCAGGUGUCAUUAACGAAGACCAGAUGUUCAGAUAUUGACUGGUUUUACAACAAACAGCGAAGAAGAACUUUUCUUGAUGUUGAUGAUGGAGAAGUUGUGAAGAGCUCACCCCGAGCUGCCAGACUGAGUCUGCACACCAACUGCUCUCUGAUCAUCAAUAACAUCACAGCUGAGGACGCUGGUCAGUACACCUGUCGAUAUUUGAGGGACUCUACCUGGGACACACAGGUGUUUCUCAACAUUUUGACAAUUUCACCGUCAUCUACAGACACCGAUCCAAAUAGAGACGGAGACGUGACAUUAAGUUGCUCCCUGUUCAAAUUUGGAGGAUGGUGUGAACCCAGGAGUGUCCGCUGGGUGGAUGAGACGGGAGCUGAGCUGGUUGGUGAAGGUGAUGGUUUCAGGUAUGGAGGACAGACAAACUGUGUUUCUUAUCUGACUGUGAAGAAUCAGGCUGAACACAGCAGAAGAUACACCUGCCAGUAUGUUGAUGAAACAGGUGUGAAGAUCCAGGCUCUCUACUCAGCUGUGUCCUCAGUGUCACCAACAGGUGAGGACUCAAACACACACACGACUCACUGAACCUUUGACAAUGUGUUUUUCUACAUCAGGGUUUUCAGAUUACAGAAAAAUCAC
rnacentral:lncRNA from 1 species